rnacentral:rRNA from 1 species
UACGUAGGGGGCAAGCGUUGUCCGGAAUUAUUGGGCGUAAAGAGCGUGUAGGCGGUCCGGUAAGUCAGCUGUGAAAGUCAAGGGCUCAACCCUUGAAUGCCGGUUGAUACUGUCGGGCUAGAGUCCGGAAGAGGCGAGUGGAAUUCCCGGUGUAGCGGUGAAAUGCGCAGAUAUCGGGAGAAACACCAAUGGCGAAGGCAGCUCGCUGGGACGGUACUGACGCUGAGACGCGAAAGCGUGGGGAGCAAACAGG